rnacentral:rRNA from 1 species
GAGCAAAUCUCAAAAAGACCGUCCCAGUUCGGAUUGCAGGCUGCAACCCGCCCUGCAUGAAGUUGGAAUCGCUAGUAAUCGCGGAUCAGCAUGCCGCGGUGAAUACGUUCCCGGGCCUUGUACACACCGCCCGUCACACCAUGAGAGUCGGGAACACCCGAAGUCCGUAGUCUGACCGCAAGGGGGACGCGGCCGAAGGUGGGUUCGAUAAUUGGGGUGAAGUCGUAACAAGGUAAC